CAGUAACGGCGAGUGAAGCGGCAACAGCUCAAAUUUGAAAUCUGGCUCCUUUGGGGUCCGAAUUGUAAUUUGUAGAGAGUGCUUCGGGCGAGACCUCGGUCUAAGUCCAUUGGAACAUGGUGUCAUAGAGGGUGAGAAUCCCGUAUGCGACCGUGGCUCGAGCCCAUGUGAAGCCUCUUCGACGAGUCGAGUUGUUUGGGAAUGCAGCUCAAAACGGGUGGUAAAUUUCAUCUAAAGCUAAAUACUGGCUGGAGACCGAUAGCGCACAAGUAGAGUGAUCGAAAGAUGAAAAGCACUUUGGAAAGAGAGUCAAACAGUACGUGAAAUUGUUGAAAGGGAAGCGCUUGCAACCAGACCUGCCCGUAGGCGAUCAGCCGCUGUUCUCAGCGGUGUACUCGCUCUGCGAUCAGGCCAGCAUCGGUUUCGGCGGUCGGAUAAAGGCCUUGGGAAUGUAGCUUCCCUUCGGGGGAGUCUUAUAGCCCUCGGUGUAAUGCGGCCAGCCGGGACCGAGGACCGCGCUUCGGCUAGGAUGCUGGCGUAAUGGUUGUAAGCGACCCGUCUUGAAACACGGACCAAGGAGUCUAACAUCUAUGCGAGUGUUUGGGUGUCAAACCCAUACGCGGAAUGAAAGUGAACGGAGGUGAGAACCCUUAAGGGCGCAUCAUCGACCGAUCCAGAUGUCUUCGGAUGGAUUUGAGUAUGAGCAUAGCUGUUGGGACCCGAAAGAUGGUGAACUAUGCCUGAAUAGGGUGAAGCCAGAGGAAACUCUGGUGGAGGCUCGCAGCGGUUUCUGACGUGCAAAUCGAUCGUCAAAUUUGGGUAUAGGGGCGAAAGAC
rnacentral:rRNA from 1 species